rnacentral:misc_RNA from 1 species
GAUGAAGAACGUAGUGAAAUGCGAUACGUAAUGUGAAUUGCAAAUUCAGUGAAUCAUCGAGUCUUUGAACGCACAUUGCGCCCCCUGGUAUUCCGGGGGGCAUGCCUGUCCGAGCGUCAUUGCUGCCCUCAAGCACGGCUUGUGUGUUGGGCCCCGUCCUCCGAUUCCGGGGGACGGGCCCGAAAGGCAGCGGCGGCACCGCGUCCGGUCCUCGAGCGUAUGGGGCUUUGUCACCCGCUCUGUAGGCCCGGCCGGCGCUUGCCGAUCAACCCAAAUUUUUAUCCAGGUUGACCUCGGAUCAGGUAGGGAUACCCGCUGAACUUAAGCAUAUCAAUAGCGGAGGA